UACGUAGGGUGCGAGCGUUAAUCGGAAUUACUGGGCGUAAAGCGUGCGUAGGCGGUUCGUUGUGUCUGUGGUGAAAGCCCCGGGCUUAACCUGGGAAUGGCCAUGGAAACUGGCGAGCUGGAGUGUGGCAGAGGGGGGUGGAAUUCCGCGUGUAGCAGUGAAAUGCGUAGAGAUGCGGAGGAACACCGAUGGCGAAGGCAGCCCCCUGGGCUAACACUGACGCUGAGGCACGAAAGUUAGGGGAGCAAACGGG
rnacentral:rRNA from 1 species